AAAAGGUGGCUAUGCUACCGCUCUUGGAUGGGCCCGCGGCGCAUUAGCUAGUUGGUGGGGUAAAGGCUUACCAAGGCAAUGAUGCGUAGCCGAACUGAGAGGUUGAUCGGCCACAUUGGGACUGAGACACGGCCCAAACUCCUACGGGAGGCAGCAGUAGGGAAUCUUCCACAAUGGGCGAAAGCCUGAUGGAGCAACGCCGCGUGGGUGAAGAAGGUCUUCGGAUCGUAAAACCCUGUUGUUAGGGAAGAAAGUGCGUGAGAGUAACUGUUCACGUUUCGACGGUAUCUAACCAGAAAGCCACGGCUAACUACGUGCCAGCAGCCGCGGUAAUACGUAGGUGGCAAGCGUUAUCCGGAUUUAUUGGGCGUAAAGGGAACGCAGGCGGUCUUUUAAGUCUGAUGUGAAAGCCUUCGGCUUAACCGGAGUAGUGCAUUGGAAACUGGGAGACUUGAGUGCAGAAGAGGAGAGUGGAACUCCAUGUGUAGCGGUGAAAUGCGUAGAUAUAUGGAAGAACACCAGUGGCGAAAGCGGCUCUCUGGUCUGUAACUGACGCUGAGGUUCGAAAGCGUGGGUAGCAAACAGGAUUAGAUACCCUGGUAGUCCACGCCGUAAACGAUGAAUGCUAAGUGUUGGAGGGUUUCCGCCCUUCA
rnacentral:rRNA from 1 species